GACGAACGCUGGCGGCGUGCUUAACACAUGCAAGUCGAACGGUGAAGCUCCAGCUUGCUGGAGUGGAUCAGUGGCGAACGGGUGAGUAACACGUGAGCAACCUGCCCCUGACUCUGGAAUAAGCGCUGGAAACGGCGUCUAAUACUGGAUACGAGAAGGGUCCGCAUGGGCACUUUCUGGAAAGUUUUUCGGUUGGGGAUGGGCUCGCGGCCUAUCAGCUUGUUGGUGAGGUAAUGGCUCACCAAGGCGACGACGGGUAGCCGGCCUGAGAAGGCGACCGGCCACACUGGGACUGAGACACGGCCCAGACUCCUACGGGAGGCAGCAGUGGGGAAUAUUGCACAAUGGGCGAAAGCCUGAUGCAGCGACGCCGCGUGAGGGAUGACGGCCUUCGGGUUGUAAACCUCUUUCAGCAGGGAAGAAGCGAAAGUGACGGUACCUGCAGAAGAAGCACCGGCUAACUACGUG
rnacentral:rRNA from 1 species